ensembl:lncRNA
AUGCGCAGUUACCAUUCAUCUUUGAAUUUCGUGCAAGAAAGAAACGAGCAGGCGGGUCGUGCUGGUGUCAAACGUGCGAGCUCUGUCGCUGAACGUCGGCACUUGGUUUUUGGUCCUACCAGCGAUCAGAACGGUGCCUGUUAUCAACCAACGUGUGUUUGGAUAUCUUUUCCCACUUCAGUAAACACUUCAACCGACCAGAUGGUCAGGUUAUGCCGUAGUCAGCUCCUACUAUGUCUGACCUCCAGAACCCUGCCUGCUGCCAAUUUAAGACUACCAUGAUAUCUGAACCUGACCUGAGCAGGUUAGUCCAGAUGGUAAAUGAAUUAAUUAAACCAAGUAGAGGGGAAAAAAUUAUACUAAGUUAGACUAUCCACCAAAAUGCAUCCGUUUUAAUAUUAAGCUAUUUAAGAUAGAUUUUUAAAACAAACAUGUAUUUUCUCUUGUCUUAGGGUAAGUCACAAUUGGAUACACAUUAGACGAUUUAAACAGAACAGUAAAUGUUUGAGUCUGACUGGUUCAGUAAUGUAAGGGGUCUCGUUAGCUUUCUGAAAUCUUCAUUGUCAAAACACUGACAUCCACAAAAUUUGCAUGUUAAACAAUUUCAUCUGUGUUUUUAUAUUGAAAGGCAACAAUGUUUUUUUGCUUCAGUAAAGUGAUAGUGUGCGUGCAACUCUAGUUUUUAAUCACACAAAAUAAAUUAAUGCUUUGUUAAUGCAAAAACAUUCGCCAUAAAAUAAAUUUGUUUUCUUCAGAUGACAACGGAAGUGCAGUGCUAAUUGGCUAGCAGCCAUACAUCAGUAAAUUGGCUUACAAUGAAAGAGCAAGGAAUUUUUUGCAAAUACGAUGCAUGGCCAUCAGAUUUCUUUUAUGUUUACCAUAAAAAUAAUGUAACCAGCUACAUGUCCUAAUGUUUUGCUUGAAGUUAAUCUUGCAUUUUAACUUGCAAAAACUACAAGAGAAAAGUAACCUCUUCCUGUCGGCCACCAGUCAGAGCGCUGUCUGCUGAUCGAAUGCCUGUUCAUGAAAAAAACCCAACUGAUAUUAAAUUUACAUCAGUAUUCAGACCCUUUUACUCAGUACUUUGUUGAAGCACUUUUGGCAGCGCUUACAACAUCAAGUCUUCUUGGGUGUGACGCUAUAAGCUUGUCAGACCUGUAUUUGUUGAGUUUCUCCCAUUCUUCUCUGCAGAUCCUCUCAAGCUCUGUCAGGUUGGAUUAGGAUCGUCUCUGCACAGCUAUUUUCAGGUGUCUCCAGACAUGUUCAAUCGGGUUCAAGUCUGGGCUCUGGCUGGGCAACUCAAGGACAUUCAGAGGCUUGUCCUGAAGCCACUCCUGCAUUGUCUUGGCUGUGUGCUUAGGGUUGUUGUCCUGCUGGAAGGUGAACCAUCGUCCCAGUCUGAGGUCCUGAGUAUUCUGGAGUAGGUUUUCAUCAAGGAUCUCUCUGUACUUUUCCCCGUUCAUCUUUCUCUCGAUCCUGGCUUGUCUCCCAGUCCCUGCCACUGAAAAACAUCCCCACAGUAUGAUGCUGCCACCACCAUGCUUCACCGUAGGGAUGGUGCCAGGUGCCCUCCAGAUGUGACGCUUGCCAUUCAGGCUGAAGUGUUCAAUCUUGGUUUCAUCAGACCAGUGACAUUUAUUUGGACACAUCCAUAACAAUGAGAUAAUGAGGCGCGAUUUCACCUGGCAUAGAAAAUGUGCUCUCUCUUCAGGACACUGUUGUUCAGAGGAGCUAGACAACAACACAGCAAACACAAUCACUUCAAACUGAAGCUGGAAAGGAAAGACUGCAAAUUAUCUAUGUUUCGUUUUACCUUUCUUCAUUAUAUAUAUUUUUUGUAUAUAUCAAUAAAAAUUAUGCUGAAUCAUGAUUUUGACUAGCUGAGAAACGCUGCCUGUCUGCCUGUCUCUGUCUGCCUCUGCCUGUCUGUCUGUCUGUCUCUGUCUGUCUCGUCCCGAUUUAAGUAUGACAAGUAAAAGUACCAAUAAUAAAACAUUCUUUAUAUUAAGCAAACCAGACGUCACAUUCCAAACCAGACGCCACAAUUUUCUUUGAUUUUUUAAAACUUACUGAUGACCAGGGGCACACUCCAACACUAAGACGUCUUUUACAAACAAAGAAUUUGUGUUUAGCGAGUCCAUCAGAUCAGAGGCAGUAGGGAUGACCAGGGAUGUUCUCCUGAUAAGUGCGUGAAUUUAACCAUUAUCUGUCCUGCUAAGCAUUAAAAAUGCAACGAGUACUUUCAGGUGUCAUGGAAAAUGUUUGGAGUAACAAGUACAUUAUUUUCUUUAGGAAUGCAGUGAUGUAAAAGUAGUCAAAAAUAUAAAUAGUAAAGUACAGAUUCCCCAAAAAAGCAGUACUUUAAAGUAUUUUUUACUUAAGUACUUUACACCAUUGUAUUUCUUAGAUGUACCUGUUACAAAGAUGGGACAAUCACUUAACUACUACAGUUCACAGAAAACCUACAGAUAAAAAUACUGACAUCUGAUAGUUAUCACCCUCUCCCCGUACAAAGAGUUUACCAGUCAGCCAACUUCAUAGACCUCGUUGCAUCUGUGACACAUAUGAUAGACAAUCAAAUGAUCUUCUUGAGUGUUUCCCGCUAGAGAGGAUUCCCCCUAUACUUGUCUUGAUAAAGAACAAGUUAAAUCCUUGAACAGAAGCCAGUUACUUAAGAAGAAACCGUUUUCUGUAAACUAUAUACUUCAUUUCAAUAAUAGCUGUAAUGGCAUCAAGUCUAUUGUCAAUAAACACUGGCAUAUACUAUCAUCAGACUCCUCUUUAAAUUCUGCCUCCCAGAAUCCACCUUUAUUCACCUAUAAACAAUCCAGAAAAUUCCAUCACACAUAUUGGUUAAAUCAAAUGUCAGAGAGAGAGAAAGGAGGCCUUCAUAGAUUGAUGCAGAUCAUGUAGCACUAUACAGACAUGUUCUAAAUUAAAUUCAUGUAUUAUUCAUGGAGAACUUGCUCUACUAAAGGACUUAUUUAUAUUCUACAGUUUUGUAAUAAGAUUUCUAUUGGAAAAACAUCCCGCGCCAUGAAAGUACGCCUUGGAGAACAUAAAUCCACUAUCAGACGUGAAGAUAUCUCCUCGCUAGUUGUGAGAGACUUUUUUUUAGAACAAAAUUAUUCUAUUAUUGAAUUGAGAUGCGUUGGAAAAAUUCUGCCAACAAAUUACUCCUAAGAGAAGACGUGAAUAUAUAAAUUAAAUUCUGUAUCCCCACACGGUUUUCACCUCCUUCCUAUUGGCCAAAUUUAGACUUAUCAGUCCAUAUCAGUUUGCAUAUCAUUUAUGAGUUAGCCCCACAUAUUUAUCAACUGCUGAGCCUGACGUGCUUUGUGGUAAUCUGUCUCAUGAAUUGAGAUAAUGUAUCCAAGUGAGCAAAUCAAAUCAAAUCAAAUUUUAUUUGUCACAUACACAUGGUUAGCAGAUGUUAAUGCGAGUGUAGCGAAAUGCUUGUGCUUCUAGUUCCGACAAUGCAGUAAUAACGAGCAAGUAAUCUAACUAACAAUUCCAAAAAAAACUACUGUCAUACACAGUGUAAGGGGAUAAAGAAUAUGUACAUAAGGAUAUAUGAAUGAGUGAUGGUACAGAGCAGCAUAGGCAAGAUACAGUAGAUGAUAUCGAGUACAGUAUAUACAUAUGAGAUAAGUAUGUAAACCAAGUGGCAUAGUUAAAGUGGCUAGUGAUACAUGUAUUACAUAAGGAUGCAGUCGAUGAUAUAGAGUACAGUAUCAACGUAUGCAUAUGAGAUGAACAAUGUAGGGUAAGUAACAUUAUAUAAGGUAGCAUUGUUUAAAGUGGCUAGCGAUACAUUUACAUCAUUUCCCAUCAAUUCCCAUGAUUAAAGUGGCUGGAGUAGAGUCAGUGUCAUUGACAGUGUG